UGUUUCGGCUAGGGGGCCAUCCCGGCUUACCAACCCGAUGCAAACUGCGAAUACCGGAGAAUGUUAUCACGGGAGACACACGGCGGGUGCUAACGUCCGUCGUGAAGAGGGAAACAACCCAGACCGCCAGCUAAGGUCCCAAAGUCAUGGUUAAGUGGGAAACGAUGUGGGAAGGCCCAGACAGCCAGGAUGUUGGCUUAGAAGCAGCCAUCAUUUAAAGAAAGCGUAAUAGCUCACUGGUCGAGUCGGCCUGCGCGGAAGAUGUAACGGGGCUAAACCAUGCACCGAAGCUGCGGCAGCGACACUCAGGUGUUGUUGGGUAGGGGAGCGUUCUGUAAGCCUGUGAAGGUGGCCUGUGAGGGUUGCUGGAGGUAUCAGAAGUGCGAAUGCUGACAUAAGUAACGAUAAAGCGGGUGAAAAGCCCGCUCGCCGGAAGACCAAGGGUUCCUGUCCAACGUUAAUCGGGGCAGGGUGAGUCGACCCCUAAGGCGAGGCCGAAAGGCGUAGUCGAUGGGAAACGGGUUAAUAUUCCCGUACUUGGUGUUACUGCGAAGGGGGGACGGAGAAGGCUAUGUUGGC
rnacentral:rRNA from 1 species